UACGUAGGGUGCAAGCGUUAAUCGGAAUUACUGGGCGUAAAGCGUGCGCAGGCGGUGAUGUAAGACAGGUGUGAAAUCCCCGGGCUCAACCUGGGAACUGCAUUUGUGACUGUAGAGCUGGAGUACGGCAGAGGGGGAUGGAAUUCCGCGUGUAGCAGUGAAAUGCGUAGAUAUGCGGAGGAACACCGAUGGCGAAGGCAAUCCCCUGGCCUGUACUGACGCUCAUGCACGAAAGCGUGGGGAGCAAACAGG
rnacentral:rRNA from 1 species